CCCCCCCCCCCCCCACACACACACACAAACAAAGAGGCGUUAGGCUGAGACGCUGAAAGUCCGGAUUUAAAGUGCAGAAAAUGAAGCCAUUGAAUCUGCCUGUCCAUGACGUACAAAGACACACUAUGAGCCAGUAUGAUCCGACCAGACCUUACAUCAGCAUUGAGGAGUUGUCGGAGAAGAAAGAGGCUGAUUGAAGCGGUACAGAUGACAUGGAUCCAUCCUUCCACAGCCAGGAGUGCACCGACCUGUGUCCCACACUUCAUAUAAGACUGGAAGCUACACUGAUCUCACAGCUACACACCACAGACGUCUACACACUGGAGAAGAGUCCCACAAAGAAGUCAUGACCCAGAGGCUGCAGAGAAACAUUUCAAGCCUCAUCUGAGUUUUUGUACAAUAUUUUUGCUGUAUGUAAAUAAAGCUUUCACUCCA